GUUGAUCCUGCUAGACCGGAUUGCUAUCAGGAUGGGACUAAGCCAUGCAAGUCAAAUAUUUCUUCAUGCCUGAAAUAUUGGCGGAUCGCUCAGUAGCACGUAGUUAAUCUACCCUGCAGAGGGGCAUACCCACGGGAAACUGUGGCUAAUACCCCAUAGGCCACGCGGACUGGAAUGUUGCGUGACUUAAAGGCUCGCUUAGGCUAUGAGAAAACGAGCGCUACAGGAUGAGACUGCGGCAGAUUAUGGUCGUUGGUGGGGUAACGGCCCACCAAGCCUGUGAUCUGUGCGGGCUGUGGGAGCAGGAGCCCGGAGAUGGGAACUGAGACAACGUCCCAAGCCCUACGGGGUGCAGCAGGCGCGAAAACUCCGCAAUGCACGCAAGUGCGACGGGGCCAUCCUGAGUGCCUUCGGGCUUUUCAUCAGUCCAAGACGCUGAUGGAAUAAGGGGAGGGCAAGGCUGGUGCCAGCAGCCGCGGUAAAACCAGCUCCUCAAGUGAUCCGGGACAUUACUGGGCCUAAAGCGUCCGUAGCCGGAUCUGCAAGUCUCCGGUUAAAUCCGACAGCUCAACUGCCGGCCUGCUGGAGAUACUACAGACCUUGGAGGCGGAAGAGGUCGAGGGUACUCCUCGGGUAGGGGUGAAAUCCGAUAAUCCGAGGGGGACCACCAGUGGCGAAGGCGCUCGACUGGGACGCGCUCGACGGUGAUGGACGAAAGCCAGGGGAGCGAACCGGAUUAGAUACCCGGGUAGUCCUGUGCUGUAAACGAUGCGGGCUAGGUGUUGGCCCAGCCACGAGCUGGGUCAGUGCCGAAGGGAAGCCGUUAAGCCCGCCGCCUGGGGAGUACGGUCGCAAGGCUGAAACUUAAAGGAAUUGGCGGGGGAGCACCACAAGGGGUGAAGUCUGCGGUUUAAUUGGACCCAACGCCGGGAAGCUUACCAGGGGCGACAGCUGUAUGAAGGUCAGGCUGAUGACCUUACCAGACUCGCUGAGAGGCGGUGCAUGGCCGUCGCCAGUUCGUGCCGUGAGGUGUCCUGUUAAGUCAGGCAACGAACGAAACCCAAACUCACAGUUGCGAGCAGAUCCCUUCGGGGAUGCUGGGCACUCUGUGGGGACCGCCAUCGCUAAGAUGGAUGAAGGUUUGGGCCACGGCAGGUCAGUAUGCCCCGAAUCCCCUGGGCCACACGCGGACUGCAAAGGCGAGGACAAUGGGUUGCUACAUCGAAAGGUGACGCUAAUCCCGAAACCUCGUCCUAGUUAGGAUUGCGGGUUGCAACUCACCCGCAUGAAUAUGGAAUCCCUAGUAACCGUGUGUCACCAUCGCACGGUGAAUACGUCCCUGCUCCUUGCACACACCGCCCGUCACUGCAUCUGAGUGGGGUCUGGGUGAGGCACGGUCUUGUUGGCCGUCUCGAAUCUAGGCUCUGCAAGGAGGCAGAAGUCGUAACAAGGUA
rnacentral:rRNA from 1 species